rnacentral:lncRNA from 1 species
CCGGAUAUAGUACUGACACAAAUGCCCUUCGGGACUUAUCACAUUUAUGCACUUUCACAUCCAUCACGUUGGCCACUCGGCCCUGUCACAUAUAUACACUUUCACAUUCAUCACAUCAGCCAUUAGGCCUUAUCACAUAUAUACACUUUCACAUUCAUCACAUUGGCCAUUAGGCCUUAUUACAUAUAUACACUUUCACAUUCAUCACAUCGGCUAUUAGGCCUUAUCACAUAUAUACACUUUCACAUUCAUCACAUUAGCUAUUAGGCCUUAUCACACAUAUACACUUUCACAUUCAUCACAUCGGCCAUUAGGCCUUAUCACAUAUAUACACUUUCACAUUCAC